rnacentral:tRNA from 1 species
GGACGGGUGGCGCAAUGGCAGCGCUUAUCUUUCCGGUCAAGCCUCUUGAACUCUUGUCCCCAAUAGAUGGGGUUGCGGGUUCGAGUCCUAUCUCGUCCG